rnacentral:rRNA from 1 species
GGAUGAAAGCGGGGGACUCGCAAGAGCCUCGCGCGAUUGGAGCGGCCGAUAUCAGAUUAGCUAGUUGGUGAGGUAAAAGCUCACCAAGGCGACGAUCUGUAGCGGGUCUGAGAGGAUGAUCCGCCUCACUGGAACUGAGACACGGUCCAGACUCCUACGGGAGGCAGCAGUGGGGAAUUUUGGACAAUGGGGGCAACCCUGAUCCAGCCAUGCCGCGUGAGUGAAGAAGGCCUUCGGGUUGUAAAGCUCUUUCAGCCGGGAAGAAAAUGCAUGGGUUAAUACCCUGUGCAGAUGACGGUACCGGAAUAAGAAGCACCGGCUAACUACGUGCCAGCAGCCGCGGUAAUACGUAGGGUGCGAGCGUUAAUCGGAAUUACUGGGCGUAAAGCGUGCGCAGGCGGUUUUGUAAGACAGGCGUGAAAUCCCCGGGCUUAACCUGGGAACUGCGUUUAUGACUGCAAGGCUAGAGUACGGCAGAGGGGGGUGGAAUUCCACGUGUAGCAGUGAAAUGCGUAGAGAUGUGGAGGAACACCAAUGGCGAAGGCAGCCCCCUGGGUCGAUACUGACGCUCAUGCACGAAAGCGUGGGUAGCAAACAGGAUUAGAUACCCUGGUAGUCCACGCCCUAAACGAUGUCAACUAGGUGUUGGGAGGGUAAAACCUUUUAGUACCGUAGCUAGCGCGAGAAGUUGACCGCCUGGGGAGUACGGCCGCAAGGUUAAAACUCAAAGGAAUUGACGGGGACCCGCACAAGCGGUGGAUGAUGUGGAUUAAUUCGAUGCAACGCGAAAAACCUUACCUACCCUUGACAUGUCAGGAACUUGCCAGAGAUGGCUUGGUGCUCGAAAGAGAACCUGAACACAGGUGCUGCAUGGCUGUCGUCAGCUCGUGUCGUGAGAUGUUGGGUUAAGUCCCGCAACGAGCGCAACCCUUGUCGUUAAUUGCCAUCAUUCAGUUGGGCACUUUAACGAGACUGCCGGUGACAAACCGGAGGAAGGUGGGGAUGACGUCAAGUCCUCAUGGCCCUUAUGGGUAGGGCUUCACACGUCAUACAAUGGUCGGUACAAAGGGUCGCCAACCCGCGAGGGGGAGCCAAUCCCAUAAAGCCGAUCGUAGUCCGGAUUGUAGGCUGCAACUCGCCUGCAUGAAGUCGGAAUCGCUAGUAAUCGUGGAUCAGCAUGUCACGGUGAAUACGUUCCCGGGUCUUGUACACACCGCCCGUCACACCAUGGGAGCGGGUUCCGCCAGAAGUAGGUAGCCUAACCGCAAGGGGGGCGCUUACCACGGCGGGGUUCGUGACUGGGGUGAAGUCGUAACAAGGUA